rnacentral:rRNA from 1 species
GACGUUGAGCAAAUCCCAGAAAUAACGUCCCAGUUCGGAUUGUAGUCUGCAACCCGACUACAUGAAGCUGGAAUCGCUAGUAAUCGCGAAUCAGAAUGUCGCGGUGAAUACGUUCCCGGGUCUUGUACACACCGCCCGUCACACCAUGGGAGUCGGAAAUGCCCGAAGUCAGUGACCCAACCGUAAGGAGGGAGCUGCUGAAGGUGGAGCCGGUAACUGGGGGUGAAGUCGUAACAAGGUAGC